AGACUUCAGGUCACGAUAAAAACGAGGCUAACUAAACCUUCGCCGUUUUACAGGUUUCGUAUUAACUAACUUCCCAUGACCUCUUCAACCAACCACUCAAACCAUCCAACUCUCGGCCCAACCCCUUCCAUUCCCGCCCCCAAUUUCAGUUUUAAGGCGCUUCACUCCUCCAAACUUCAGUGUUUUCCGCGGCCUACCCUACCUACGUCUUCGCGUCGCCACAGGUCUCAAGUCAGGGCCUUAGCCUUAAUAUGUCCGCCAUUCCCGCUCUUCCAACUCGUCCACAGGCACCCCUGAGGUCCCCAAAGCACGCAACGGCCGAGCAUGAAAAUGGCGGAGUGCGGCCGCCUGCUGCAGGUGAGCGGUCCCAUGCCGCCGCCGCACUCACCCUCGGGCGCUGAUCAGAGGUCCUAACGACUGGCGAGCGAUAUGUUCGUCUUCACAGUCAGGAAUGUCUCUCCCGUCGGGCCCCCUCCCUCCUCCCCUCUCAAUCCCACUCCUCCAAAAGAGCAGCCGCCAUCUUCCCCUAUGAGCCACCGAGCGCACGUCCGUGUGUCAUCACGCACCGGCGUACGCUUCUACGUCACGCGCGCCUGGGCCGAAGGGCUCCGUAGGGCUAACUCUGCGCAUGUGCGUAGCUGAGAGGCGGGGCCUGACCGGAAUCUUACGCGGCCUUUCGGAGCGGCUUCUUUGUUCCGGCUGAGAGGAGUUCCGCACUGCUUGGGGAGAAGGACCUAGGGAGGUUGUGCCGCCUUACUUUUUUCAUCCUGUGCGCUAACCCCAGUGCCCUUAGAAAUAACUCUUUUUGGAAAAUUUGACUGAGAAAUUUGUUCGUGGGCGGUACUGCAGUUGCUAAUAUGCCUAUUCAUCCGUGAAAUUAGGGGGUCUGGCUGACAAUAUUUUAAGAAUUUGAAGAAACGCACCGAGCUGAGUCAAGCACGUUUGUGUCGUUUGCGCAUUCCCAGUGUCUCUUAAAGUAUCUCCUUUCUAAAUGAGAGUGGAUACUGAGUUAUAAAACUUGAGCCCUAGGGUACAGCCAGUUUAGANNNNNNNNNNNNNNNNNNNNNNNNNNNNNAAGCAUACGCUCACCCUAAAACGCAGCAGUUCCCCCGCAAGAGAACUGAGUGCACGUGUCCACCAAAGGUUUACAUGAGAAUGUUCAUAGGAGCUCUAUUUGUAAUAGGGUUUUCCUGGUGAUUCAGACAGUAGAGAAUCCGCCUGCAUGCAGGAGACCUGAGUUCAAUCCCUGGGUCUGGAAGAUCCCCUGGAAAAGGAAAUGGGUACUUGUCCCAGUAGUCUUGCCUGUGGACAGAGGAACCUGUGUACCAGUAAAUAAAUUGUGGUGUGGUCAUGCCAUUGAUAGGGACAGAGUAAAGGGACAAGUGUGCUCGGUCACUCAGUGGUAUGGGACUUUGCAUUCCCAAGGACAAUAGCCGGACAGGCUCCUUUGUCAGCGGAAUUUUCACAGUAAGAACGGUGGAGUAGGUUGCCAUUUCCAUUUCCUUUCCCAGGGGAUCCUACUCACCCAGGGAUUGAACCCUUGUCUCUUGCCUCUCCUGCAUUGGCAGGUGGAUUCUUUGCCACUGCAUAACCAUAUAGGUGACUAAAUAGUUAAUCCCAGUAGAUAAUUUUCAGUAGAAAAAANAGUAGAUAAUUUUAAGUAGAAAAAAUAGGCGAGCCCCCUGUUAGUUAAUGAUUAUUAAAGAGAGUUGGUGGGAGACAGGCCUGAAAGCAAUAAAACAAUGGUGGCGUGAGACCCCCACCCUACCUAGUGAGCUCAGUAAAUUAAUGAUCUCUAGGACAUGCUCUCUGCACGGAUAGAAAACAAUCUGUGGACCUAGCUUGCCAUGUAGGGAUAAGAAAACCCAUGCCCAGCUGGUGGAAGGAGCGGAUAAUGAAAGCAUGACUUCUACUCAAGACAAAGUUCUUCUCCCCCUCCCCACUUUUCCUCUGAUUAUGAAACUGUAGCCCACUAAGUUCUCAGGGCGCGGCAUCCGCUUGCCCGCCUGUUGUAAGCCUCAGGAGCAUCCUGUUCUAAUCAAGUCGCUUCUCAUGUACCGCUUUGCCUCUUGCUGAAUUCUUUCUGUUCUGAGACAUAAAGAACUCUGGUACCAGAGCACUUCAGAGCCCCUGAAACAACACCUAACAGUUUGAAAAGCAAUUAACCAAGCUGAUGCAAGUGAUGUUCAGGGCUUGAUUUAGAUAUUUUGAGUAUUUUGGCUGUCUUUCUCAUGGUAUGAUGUUAAUGGUUCUCAAUUACUGCAACUGGUCUACCUGACCCUGAAGCAUCAUGCAGCAAGAAAAAAUCUCCAGCAUGAAACUUGGCCAACCACUUUGACAUGUUUGAUCAGUCACAGCACCUUCACCAAACAUUGCACAAAUCCUUUUUUUUUUUGGCAUUUCAGUUGUGCUUUUACCUUUGUUGAAAUAAUAAAGCAUGAUAUGCCAAAAAAUGUUGCUUUUUUCCUUCCAUCUUCAGUCUUAAAAUGGCUACACAAAACUCACUAAUUUUGAUUCUUUUUUUUAAUGCAAGGCUAAUAUGACAGCUAUCACAAUAUAACCUAACAAAAUUGUUUCAAAUGAAGUGAAAGACAACUAAGCACUACUAGAGCCAUCCUAUGGAAAAAAAUGAAAUUAAUUUCUUGGCCAACCCAAUACAUACCUUAAUUAUAAAAUAGUUAUUUUUUUCUUGGUAAAAAGUGCUAACCAUCAUUUGACAAUGCAUAAACUUGGAAGCAACAAGCAAAGAUUUAGGAAAUCUACACUACUCCAGAGUAAUGUUAAAAAACAAAAUUGAGUAAAUUUUAAAGAUUUUGAUUGACUUUAUUUAAUGAUUCAUGAAUCAGGCAGUACCCAAUCUAACAGACGGAAAGGUGCUCCAAGGAGAGUAUAGGCAGAAGGGACAAGGAUGUUCUCCUAACAAAAAGUAGAAUGGUGGCAAAGUCACUUUCCUUUAUGGGAUGAGAUGUAUCAAGUAGGUUACUACUUAACUAGAGCUGUUUAUGCGAUUCUUGGUUGACUGACUUAGGAUUGCAUUCCCAGGAGAGCCAAAAGUGUAAUUAAAUCUCAGUUUGGUGCUGUGAAGCUUAGCAUAAGUGACUCCAUUUGGGGCCUGUUGUGUUGUUUUUGUCAGUUUCCCCCUUUCAAUGAGAUGCUCAGGCUAACUGAGAUGUGAUCAAAGGAACUGGCAUUACUCCCAGCUAUUGCUGUGAAGUUCUCUUAAGUUUUUGCUGAAUCUGNNNNNNNNNNNNNNNNNNNNNNNNNNNNNNNNNNNNNNNNNNNNNNNNNNNNNNNNNNNNNNNNNNNNNNNNNNNNNNNNNNNNNNNNNNNNNNNNNNNUAUUGCUGUGAAGUUCUCUUAAGUUUUUGCUGAAUCUGUCUGUGGUGUUUACAGGCCGCAACAUCAGAUUCACAUACUUUAAGUCAGUCAUUCUCAUCACUCCUUUUCUGAUGCUCUGGUUUUAGGGAGAUCUUUUGCUAGCUCUUUAGUGGCUGCAAACAUACAUUUGAAGAUUUUCAGAAAACACUGAGCCCUGAGGAGACUACUAUGAUUACCACAAGCAGGAUAAUUCCCAAUACCUGGCAUGUACUUUGGAGCUGCAGCCCCCAAGACCCAAAUCAAUCAGAAUCAAAUAAGUCAGAGAAAGACCACAUUGAAGGGGUCAUCUUCUUAAGAUGACUGGUCUGUUGCUGACCUUAUACAGCCGAAUCUUAGCUUCUGCAGAAGUGUCAACCCAAGUGCAACAAGUCACGCUAGCUUUAACACAGACUCCUCCUUACUCANNNNNNAAUCAAGGAUUAUUCUAGUAUCAGAAACCAUUUUUGCCAGAGUCUAGGGAUUUUUAUCAGACAGCUGUGGCUUUAGCAGCAGGUUCUACAAU
ensembl:lncRNA